rnacentral:rRNA from 1 species
UACGGAGGGGGCUAGCGUUGUUCGGAAUUACUGGGCGUAAAGCGCACGUAGGCGGAUUUGUAAGUCAGGGGUGAAAUCCCGGGGCUCAACCUCGGAACUGCCUUUGAUACUGCGAAUCUUGAGUCCGAUAGAGGUGGGUGGAAUUCCUAGUGUAGAGGUGAAAUUCGUAGAUAUUAGGAAGAACACCAGUGGCGAAGGCGGCCCACUGGAUCGGUACUGACGCUGAGGUGCGAAAGCGUGGGGAGCAAACAGGG